UACGUAGGGUGCGAGCGUUGUCCGGAAUUAUUGGGCGUAAAGAGCUUGUAGGCGGUCUGUCGCGUCUGCUGUGAAAAUCCGGGGCUCAACCCCGGACUUGCAGUGGGUACGGGCAGACUAGAGUGUGGUAGGGGGAGACUGGAAUUCCUGGUGUAGCGGUGAAAUGCGCAGAUAUCAGGAGGAACACCGAUGGCGAAGGCAGGUCUGCUGGG
rnacentral:rRNA from 1 species